AAGUCGUAACAAGGUCUCCGUUGGUGAACCAGCGGAGGGAUCAUUACCGAGUACUAUAACUCAUAACCCUUUGUGAACCUUCAUACCUGUUGCUUCGGCGGCGCGCCUCUCGGGGCGUGCCCGCCGGGGACCCAAACACUAUAUUUUACCCAGUGUAUCUCUGAGUGAACCAUAAAUAAAUCAAAACCUUUAACAACGGAUCUCUUGGCUCUG
rnacentral:misc_RNA from 1 species